rnacentral:lncRNA from 1 species
GGCAGCUCUUGCACAGUGGGUGCCCUCAAAUGUACUGCAGAGUUUGUUGUGUUGCUGUUUAGUUGAGCAUCAACUGAUAACCUCGACCAUAUGACAAGCAACACAUAUAGCUGGAAUGUACAGACUAAAAAAGCUCGGAAGCGCUCGCGCUCUUUGGAGAAUUUUGUAUGAGCAUUUUCAGGCUGUUCUGGUGACACUAAAAAAUACUGGCUCUCCUGUAA